rnacentral:rRNA from 1 species
AUGGUCGGUCCUUUGAGAACAGGCAGAAGCGGUUUUACCCAUGUGCUGGUAGCAGUCGACAAGUUCACCAAGUGGAUCGAAGCUAAACCCAUCAAGAACCUUGAUGCCGGUACUGCUGUCAGCUUCAUCAGAGAAUUGAUAUUCAGAUAUGGAGUCCCGCACACCAUCAUCACUGACAACGGGUCAAACUUCGAUUCUGAAGAGUUCAGAGCUUUCUGCGGGUCUCAAGGCACACGAGUCGACUAUGCUUCAGUCGCCCAUCCACAGUCGAAUGGACAGGCAGAACGAGCCAACGGUUUGAUUCUCAAAGGGUUGAAACCCUAUUUGAUGCGUGAUCUUAAGCAUGCGGCUGGUGCAUGGGUCGACGAACUUCCUUCGAUGCUUUGGGGGUUA